GGGGCUGACUGGAUUUGACAGCGGGAUGAGAUGGUGUGUAAGCACGUAGAGCUUCGUUAGCUGGCUCUUAAAUAUCAGUUAUCAAAAAAUUAAUUGGCGAAAAUAACUACGCUCUCGCUGCUUAAUCGAAGUAUAGUAGAUUACUAGCUUUAUUCCGUUACAAGGUAAUGGAACGAGACAUUACUCCAAAGAUGUGGUUCCGAAUCAAUGGAUUCAGUGGUGCAGAAAAAUCGGAAAUAGUCUAAAAAGGUCUUGAUUUUUAGAUGAAACUUUAAAGACUAAGGUUAUAAUUGGUGGUUCGGGUCUUGUUAUAAUCUGACAAAUGAAGGCCGAAAUAAACGUGUAGAAAGCAUAGUAUUUCCCUGUUUGGACGUGGGUUCGAAACCCACCAGCUCCACUU
rfam:Prevotella sp. oral taxon 299 str. F0039, complete genome.